rnacentral:rRNA from 1 species
AUGAAAAACGUAGCGAAAUGCGAUACUUGGUGUGAAUUGCAGAAUCCCGUGAACCAUCGAGUUUUUGAACGCAAGUUGCGCCCUAAGCCAUUAGGCUGAGGGCACGUCUGCCUGGGCGUCACGCAUCGCGUCGCCACCCCCCUCCUCGCCCCGCGCGGGAACGA